AGAAUGAACGUUGGCGGCGUGGAUUAGGCAUGCAAGUCGAACGGGCCUGGUAGCAAUAUCAGGUCAGUGGCGUAAGGGUGAGUAAGGCGACGGCAACCAACCCCAUGGUUGGGCAUAGCCGCGGGAAACUGCGGGUAAUUCCCAGCGAUGUUCGUGCCGGGCAUCCGGCGUGAACCAAAGUUUCGGCGCCGUGGGACGGGCCGUCGUGGUAUUAGGUAGUUGGCGGGGUAAUGGCCCACCAAGCCUCUGAUGCCUACCGGGCGUGCGAGCGUGGCCCGGCACACUGGGACUGAGACACUGCCCAGACUCCUACGGGAGGCUGCAGUCGAGAAUCUUCGGCAAUGGGCGCAAGCCUGACCGAGCGACGCCGCGUGGAGGAUGAAGGCCUUCGGGUUGUAAACUCCUGUCGAGGGGGAGGAAGGCGCAAGCUUGACCUAUCCCUGGAGGAAGCACGGGCUAAGUUCGCGCCAGCAGCCGCGGUAA
rnacentral:rRNA from 1 species